rnacentral:tRNA from 4 species
AGGGGUAUAGCUCAGUUGGUAGAGCGGCGGUCUCCAAAACCGCAGGUCGAGGGUUCGAACCCUUCUGCCCCUGCCA